rnacentral:rRNA from 1 species
GGUCAAGUUAUUAAGGGUGCAGGGCGGAUGCCUUGGCACUAGGAGCCGAUGAAGGACGUGAUAAGCUGCGAUAAGCUUCGGGGAGUUGCACGUAAACUUUGAUCCGAAGAUUUCCGAAUGAGGAAACUCACUUAGAGUAAUGUCUAAGUAUCAUUAAGUGAAUACAUAGCUUAAUGAGGGGAACUCAGGGAACUGAAACAUCUAAGUACCUGAAGGAAGAGAAAGAAAUUCGAUUCCGUAAGUAGCGGCGAGCGAACGCGGAUUAGCCCAAACCAAUAAAGUUUUCUUUAUUGGGGUUGCGGACAUAUCAUAACGAAGAGGUAUCGUAAUUGAAGAGGUUUGGAAAGACCCACCACAGAAGGUAAUAGUCCUGUAUGUUAAACGAGAAGACUUCAGAUAUGAUCCAGAGUACCACGGGACACGUGAAACCCUGUGGGAAGCAGGAGGGACCACCCUCCAAGGCUAAAUACUACCUAGUGACCGAUAGCGUAUAGUACCGUGAGGGAAAGGUGAAAAGAACCCCGGGAGGGGAGUGAAAUAGAACCUGAAACCCUGCACUUACAAGCUGUGGAAGCACAUUUCUUGUGUGACCGCGUACUUUUUGUAGAACGGGCCAACGAGUUACGUUAAGUAGCAAGGUUAAGCACUUAAGGUGCGGAGCCGUAGCGAAAGCGAGUUUUAACUGAGCGUUCAGUUACUUGACGUAGACCCGAAACCGGGCGACCUACCCAUGAGCAGGAUGAAGCGAAAGUAAAAUUUCGUGGAGGUCCGAACCCACGAGCGUUGAAAAGCUCGGGGAUGACUUGUGGGUAGCGGUGAAAUUCCAAUCGAGCCCGGAGAUAGCUGGUUCUCCCCGAAAUAGCUUUAGGGCUAGCCUCAAGGUGAGAGAUACGGAGGUAGAGCACUGAAUGUCCUAGGGGGUAUUGCACCUACCGAAGACUAUCAAACUCCGAAUGCCGUCAUCUUAUACUUGGGAGUCAGACUGUGGGUGAUAAGAUUCAUAGUCGAAAGGGCAACAGCCCAGAUCGUCAGCUAAGGUCCCUAAAUGUAAGUUAAGUGGUAAAGGAUGUGGGAUUGCACAGACAACCAGGAUGUUGGCUUAGAAGCAGCCACUCAUUCAAAGAGUGCGUAAUAGCUCACUGGUCGAGUGAUCCUGCGCCGAAGAUUUCCGGGGCUAAAACUUACUACCGAAGCUACGGCAUCAGUAAUGAUGGGUAGGGGAGCUUCCCAUACGGGUUGAAGCAUGACCGUAAGGACAUGUGGACAGUAUGGGAGUGAGAAUGUUGGCAUGAGUAGCGAGAUGUGGGUGAGAAUCCCACAGGCCGUAAACCCAAGGUUUCCAGGGGGAGGUUCGUCCGCCCUGGGUUAGUCGGGACCUAAGCUGAGGCCGAAAGGCGUAGGUGAUGGACAACAGGUUGAUAUUCCUGUACUACCGAUAACCGUUUGAGAGAAGGGAUGACACAGUAGGAUAAGCUAAGCACACUGUUGGUUAUGUGUGCCCAAGCAUUGAGGCAGUCAAAGUAGGCAAAUCCGCUUUGAUAAUGCUGGGAUGUGAUGGGGAGCGAAAUUUAGUAGCGAAGUAGCUGAUUUCACACUGUCAAGAAAAGUCUCUAUCGAGGUUAAAGGUACCCGUACCGCAAACCGACACAGGUGGGUGAGGAGAGUAUCCUAAGGCCAGCGAGAGAACUGUUGUUAAGGAACUCGGCAAAAUGACCCCGUAACUUAGGGAUAAGGGGUGCCACCAUCAGGUGGCCGCAGAGAAUAGGCCCAAGCGACUGUUUACCAAAAACAUAGGUUUCUGCUAAGUCGCAAGACGAUGUAUAGGAGCUGACGCCUGCCCGGUGCUGGAAGGUUAAGGGGAUCUGUUAGAGCAAUCGAAGCAGUGAACUUAAGCCCCAGUAAACGGCGGCCGUAACUAUAACGGUCCUAAGGUAGCGAAAUUCCUUGUCGGGUAAGUUCCGACCCGCACGAAAGGCGUAACGAUUUGGGCACUGUCUCAACAACAGACUCGGUGAAAUUGUAAUUCCGGUGAAGAUGCCGGAUACCUGCGACAGGACGGAAAGACCCCAUGGAGCUUUACUGUAGCUUGACAUUGGGUCUUGGUACUACAUGUACAGGAUAGGUGGGAGGCUUUGAAACCAGGACGCCAGUUUUGGCGGAGCCAUCCUUGGGAUACCACCCUUGUAGUACUGGGACUCUAACCAUAGGCCAUGAAUCUGGUCUUGGGACACUGUCAGGUGGGCAGUUUGACUGGGGCGGUCGCCUCCCAAAAGGUAACGGAGGCGCUCAAAGGUUCUCUCAGUACGGUCGGAAAUCGUACGUAGAGUGUAAAGGCAAAAGAGAGCUUGAUUGCAAGACAUACAGGUCGAGCAAGGAUGAAAAUCGGACUUAGUGAUCCGGUGGUUCUGCGUGGAAGGGCCAUCGCUCAACGGAUAAAAGCUACCCUGGGGAUAACAGGCUUAUCUCCCCCAAGAGUCCACAUCGACGGGGAGGUUUGGCACCUCGAUGUCGGCUCAUCACAUCCUGGGGCUGUAGUAGGUCCCAAGGGUUGGGCUGUUCGCCCAUUAAAGUGGUACGCGAGCUGGGUUCAGAACGUCGUGAGACAGUUCGGUCCCUAUCCGUCGCAGGCGUAGGAAAUUUGAGAAGACCUGUCCUUAGUACGAGAGGACCGGGAUGGACGUACCUCUGGUGUACCAGUUGUUCUGCCAAGGGCAUGGCUGGGUAGCUAUGUGCGGAAUGGAUAAGCGCUGAAAGCAUCUAAGCGCGAAGCCAACUUCAAGAUAAGAUUUCCCACCGCAAGGGUAAGACCCCAGAAAGACUAUCUGGUUGAUAGGUCGAAGGUGUAAGUGCAGCAAUGUAUUUAGCUUAUCGAUACUAAUAGGUCGAGGACUUGACCAA